UACGAAGGGGGCUAGCGUUGUUCGGAAUUACUGGGCGUAAAGCGCACGUAGGCGGAUCGAUCAGUCAGGGGUGAAAUCCCAGAGCUCAACUCUGGAACUGCCUUUGAUACUGUCGAUCUGGAGUAUGGAAGAGGUGAGUGGAAUUCCGAGUGUAGAGGUGAAAUUCGUAGAUAUUCGGAGGAACACCAGUGGCGAAGGCGGCUC
rnacentral:rRNA from 1 species